AAAAUGGACCAAUCAGCAGGAUGUGGGUGGGGCCAGAUAAGGGAAUAAAACCAGGGCACUUGAGCCAGCAGCAGCAACCUGCUCAGGUGCCCUUCCACCUUGUUCUUCUGCUCUUUGCAAUAAAUUUUACUGCUGCUCAUUCUUUGGGUCCGCACUGCCUUUAUGAGGUAUAACACCGUGAAGGUUGGCAGCCUCACUUCUAAAGCCAGCGAGACCACAAACCCACCAGGAGGGACAAACAACUCUGGACGUGCCACUUUAUGAACUGUAACAGUCAGUGCAAAGGUCUGCAGCUUCACUCCUGAGGCUAGCGAGACCAGGAACCCACCAGAAGGGACAAACAACUCCAGACGCCUCACCUUAAAAGCUGUAACACUUACAGUGAAGCUCUGCAGCUUCACUCAAACCCAGCGAGACCACGAACCCACCAGAAGGAAGAAACUCCGAACACGUCCGAACAUCACAAGGAACAAACUCCAGAUACCAUCUUUAAGAACUGUAACACUCACUGCAAGUUAAAAGAAGAAAACUGUACUGAAGAAAGUAACCAAUAGUCCAUUAGUAAAUCGGGUGAUAAAAUGUUUGAAGUGAAGAACCAAAGUUGG
rnacentral:lncRNA from 1 species